UACAGAGGUCUCAAGCGUUGUUCGGAUUCAUUGGGCGUAAAGGGUGCGUAGGCGGCGCGGUAAGUCGGGGUGUGAAAUCUCGGAGCUUAACUCCGAAACUGCAUUCGAUACUGCCGUGCUCGAGGACUGGAGAGGAGACUGGAAUUUACGGUGUAGCGGUGAAAUGCGUAGAUAUCGUAAGGAAGACCAGUGGCGAAGGCGGGUCUCUGGACAGUUCCUGCGUG
rnacentral:rRNA from 1 species